rnacentral:tRNA from 1 species
GGCGAAAUGGCCGAGUGGUCUAAGGCGGAGCAUUUGGAGCAGCAGGUUUCUCCGGGGUCCCGGGUUCGAAUCCCGCCAUCGCCU